rnacentral:rRNA from 1 species
GAUGAACGCUAGCUACAGGCUUAACACAUGCAAGUCGAGGGGAAACGACAUUGAAGCUUGCUUCGAUGGUCGUCGACCGGCGCACGGGUGAGUAACGCGUAUCCAACCUGCCUCUGACCAAGGGAUAACCCGUCGAAAGUCGGCCUAAUACCUUAUGCAGUCGUCGGAAGUCAUCUGAUGACGACGAAAGAUUUCAUCGGUGAGAGAUGGGGAUGCGUCUGAUUAGCUUGUUGGCGGGGUAACGGCCCACCAAGGCAACGAUCAGUAGGGGUUCUGAGAGGAAGGUCCCCCACAUUGGAACUGAGACACGGUCCAAACUCCUACGGGAGGCAGCAGUGAGGAAUAUUGGUCAAUGGGCGAGAGCCUGAACCAGCCAAGUAGCGUGCAGGAUGACGGCCCUAUGGGUUGUAAACUGCUUUUAUGCGGGGAUAAAGUGAGGGACGUGUCCUUCAUUGCAGGUACCGCAGGAAUAAGGACCGGCUAAUUCCGU